rnacentral:rRNA from 1 species
UCGAACGCGAAAGCGGAGCAAUCCGCAAGUAGAGUGGCGAACGGGUGAGUAAUACAUCGGAACAUUUCCAGUAGCGGGGGAUAACCUGUCGAAAGAUAGGCUAAUACCGCAUACGACCUACGGGUGAAAGCGGAGGACCGCAAGGCUUCGCACUAUUGGAGUGGCCGAUGUCGGAUUAGCUAGUUGGCGGGGUAAAAGCCCACCAAGGCUACGAUCCGUAGCUGGUCUGAGAGGACGAUCAGCCACACUGGAACUGAGACACGGUCCAGACUCC